CCGGGGCUCGACCGAACACAAAGUUUGGUUUCGCGCUGCUCACGAGGGAGGAUCGGACGAUCUCGGGGCCGACAUUUUUCGAGCCUUCAAAACUACACUAGUGAGUGGGAUUCUUCAUGCUCGCUCGUAACGGCCAAGCUAACUUCCAGUAACUAAGUUCUUAAUCAAAAAAGCUUUCGUCCAACUAUCACAUGAAAAACGAUCAGCAUCCUUCCACAUCCAUAGAGCCGCUAUAAACCACGUCUCUACCGAGCCGAUCCAUAUGCCGAGCUUUGUCCCCGUCCAUCCUCCCACUAGCUGCACCAUCAUUUGCCUCCUGUCAAAGUCGAUCCGAUCUUCCCAAGCACCGGGCUCCGCACGAGAAAUUCGAACCCGAAAGGAAGAAUUCUCCAGCAAAGCAUCGAUGUCGGGAUUUGGAGAGAGAUCGAUCGAUAUCUAUCGAUAUCGAUGCAUUGAAUGAAUCUGGGGUCCAUCAAAGCGCCGGAUUAGAGCCUCUUCCUCGAGCUCAAGUUUUGCAACAUCCACACAAGCACCUGACCGAUUCACUAUGCAACUGCUACGACGCCACGAGGAACUUGCCAUCGCAAUUGAGGUUAGGACACGAUUUGAGCCGCACCACGCCGAGAACGGCCGCCUUUUGUGGUCGUGGAAGCCGCCCAGAGAGAUGCUGCCAUGAGAGAGAGAGA